AAGAGGCGCGAGCGAGUAAUGUAUUGCAAAGAAAAGUAAACGGGAAAGUCACAGCUUGUUGCUGGGUUCUGUAAUGGUGGUGACUGGUCUCUAGUCUUAACAGACCGACCAUUAUUAUCAAAGACUAGUCCUUUCCUUUGUUCAACUAUACAUCCUCAACCAAGUUACUGUUUUUCUCUUCCAAAGACUUGCAACGACUCUGCUCCCCGAUCAUGAAGAAGGGAACCUUAAACCCUAACAUCAAGCUCAAGCUCUCUCUCCCUCCUUCCGAUGAAGUUUACUUCGCCAAGUUCCUAACCCAAAGUGGUACCUUUAUGGAUGGCGAUCUGCUUGUCAAUCGGGAUGGAGUUCGAGUUGUUUCGCAAAGUGAAUCCGAAGCUCCACCUCCUAUUAAACCAUUGGACAACCAGUUGAAUUUGGCAGAC
rnacentral:misc_RNA from 1 species